GCAUAGCUGCCUUCCAAGCAGUUGACCCGG
rnacentral:piRNA from 5 species